rnacentral:lncRNA from 1 species
UCUGAUUUACAUCUUAAAUAAUGUUAUAGAAUAAUAAUAUGUUCGUUGCUAGAAGAAUAACUUUUUGCAGAUUGGUUAAAUUUAUUUCUAGGUUUUGUUGUUUAACCUAGGAUGGGUCAAAUGGUUCAUCGGGUCGAACCCAUUUAUAAGGACUACUGAAUCUACCGGGCAAAACCAUACCAUUUGUAAGAAUCACAUGUUAUUUGAGACACUUAAUGUUGAUGGAUUAUUUGUAAGAAUCACAUGUUAUUUGAGACACUUAAUGUUGAUGGAUUAUUUGUAAGAAUCACAUGUUAUUUGAGACACUUAAUGUUGAUGGAUUAUUUGUAAGAAUCACAUGUUAUUUGAGACACUUAAUGUUGAUGGAUUGUGCAUGAAAGCAGGAAGUACAACCAUUUAAUAUAUAAGAGAGAAAAAUCAAAUCUUGAUUUGGUGGCAUAGUUUUUAGAUGUAGAGAUGUACUGGUUAGGCAUGAAAUGGGUAACAUGAAAAUUUAUGUGGAUGUGGAGUCAUUGGCUGUGGUAGUUCUACUUAAAUACUUCAUUGAAUAUCCAUCAACAU